ensembl:lncRNA
GUCCGGCCGCCUCGCUGCGCGGAGUCUCUCGCCGAGAGAUGCGGGCUUGACGCAGACGCGGCAUCGGGGCUCCGGGUACCGGAGGGACGGCGAUGCUCGAGUCGAGAUAGUAUGAAGAAAGGGCCAUGGAUCUGUUCAGUGGCCACAAAGCUGAGAUGCCACAUGGAGGAAGCCGCUGCAUGGUAAGUGACAUUCUGUCAUCUGCUCAGGUACUAUUAAAAAUGCGCAACCAC